GGGGGUGUAGCUCAGUGGUAGAGCGCUUGCCUUACAUGUGUGAGGCAUUAAAUUCAAUCCUCAGCACCA
rnacentral:tRNA from 1 species